rnacentral:rRNA from 1 species
UACGUAGGGGGCAAGCGUUGUCCGGAAUCAUUGGGCGUAAAGAGCGUGUAGGCGGCCCGGUAAGUCCGCUGUGAAAGUCCAGGGCUCAACCCUGGGAUGCCGGUGGAUACUGUCGGGCUCGAGUCCGGAAGAGGAGUGUGGAAUUCCUGGUGUAGCGGUGAAAUGCGCAGAUAUCAGGAGGAACACCCGUAGCGAAGGCGGCACUCUGGGCCGGAACUGACGCUGAGGAGCGAAAGCGUGGGGAGCGAACA